GGAAUUUUGGGCAAUGGGCGAAAGCCUGACCCAGCAACGCCGCGUGUGGGAUGAAGGCCCUCGGGUCGUAAACCACUGUCAGGAGGAAAGAACGACCUGUCGGAUAAUACCCGGCAGGUGUGACGGUACCUCCAAAGGAAGCACACGCUAACCCCGGGCCAGCAGCCGCGGUAAUACGGAGGGUGCAAGCGUUGUUCGGAAUUACUGGGCGUAAAGCGCGUGUAGGUGGUUCGAUAAGUCGAAUGUGAAAGCCCCGGGCUCAACCCGGGAAGUGCAUCCGAAACUGCCGAACUAGAGUCCCGGAGAGGAAGGCAGAAUUCCCAAUGUAGGGGUGAAAUCCGUAGAUAUUGGGAGGAAUACCGGUGGCGAAGGCGGCCUUCUGGACGGUGACUGACACUCAGACGCGAAAGCGUGGGGAGCAAA
rnacentral:rRNA from 1 species